rnacentral:rRNA from 1 species
UCGGUCCCUAUCCAUCGCAGGCGGAGGAGAUUUGACGGGAUCUGCCCCUAGUACGAGAGGACCGGGGUGGACGGCCCGCUGGUGUACCAGUUAUCCCGCCAGGGGUACAGCUGGGUAGCCAUGGCCGGAACGGAUAAGCGCUGAAAGCAUCUAAGCGCGAAGCCGGCCCGAAGAUGAGAUCUCCCAUCCCGCAAGGGAGUAAGGCCCCUGGAAGAUGACCAGGUAGAUAGGCCGGGAGUGGAAGUGCCGUAAGGCAUGGAGCGGACCGGUACUAAUCGGCCGAGGGCUUGAUUUCGCUG